UUACUGGGCGUAAAGCGCACGUAGGCGGAUCAGAAAGUAUGAGGUGAAAUCCCGGGGCUCAACCCCGGAACUGCCUUGUAAACUCCUGGUCUUGAGUUCGAGAGAGGUGAGUGGAAUUCCGAGUGUAGAGGUGAAAUUCGUAGAUAUUCGGAGGAACACCAGUGGCGAAGGCGGCUCACUGGCUCGAUACUGACGCUGAGGUGCGAAAGUGUGGGGAGCAAACAGGAUUAGAUACCCUGGUAGUCCACACCGUAAACGAUGAAUGCCAGACGUCAGCAAGCAUGCUUGUUGGUGUCACACCUAACGGAUUAAGCAUUCCGCCUGGGGAGUACGGUCGCAAGAUUAAAACUCAAAUGAAUUGACGGGGGCCCGCACAAGCGGUGGAGCAUGUGGUUUAAUUCGAAGCAACGCGAAGAACCUUACCUACACUUGACAUCCAGAGAACUUUCUAGAGAUAGAUUGGUGCCUUCGGGAACUCUGAGACAGGUGCUGCAUGGCU
rnacentral:rRNA from 1 species